rnacentral:rRNA from 1 species
GACGAACGCUGGCGGCGUGCUUAACACAUGCAAGUCGAACGAAGUGGCGAACGGGUGAGUAACGCGUAAUAAACCUGCCCUUCAGGGGGGAACAACAGUUGGAAACGACUGCUAAUACCGCAUACUGAAGGAGGGGAGUGCGUCUGAUUAGCUAGUUGGGGGGGUAACGGCCCACCAAGGCGACGAUCAGUAGCCGGUCUGAUAGGAUUAACCACCACAUUGGGACUGAGACACUGCCCCGACUCCUACGGGGGGCAGCAGUGGGGAAUCUUCCGCAAUGGACGAAAGUCUGACGGAGCAACGCCGCGGUAGUGAUGACGGCCUUCGGGUUGUAAAGCUCUGUUAAUCGGGGCGCGGUACCCGAAUAGAAAGCCACGGCUAACUACGUGCCAGCAGCCGCGGUAAUUC